rnacentral:rRNA from 1 species
GACGUAGGGCGCGAGCGUUGUCCGGAUUUAUUGGGCGUAAAGAGCUCGUAGGCGGCUUGUCGCGUCGACUGUGAAAACCCGCGGCUCAACUGUGGGCUUGCAGUUGAUACGGGCAGGCUAGAGUUCGGUAGGGGAGACUGGAAUUCCUGGUGUAGCGGUGAAAUGCGCAGAUAUCAGGAGGAACACCGGUGGCGAAGGCGGGUCUCUGGGCCGAUACUGACGCUGAGGAGCGAAAGCGUGGGGAGCGAACAGG